UACGUAGGGACCAAGCGUUGUUCGGAUUUACUGGGCGUAAAGGGCGCGUAGGCGGCAAAUCAAGUCAGCUGUGAAAUCUCCGGGCUUAACUCGGAACGGUCAGCUGAUACUGCUUUGCUAGAGUGCAGAAGGGGCAAUCGGAAUUCUUGGUGUAGCGGUGAAAUGCGUAGAUAUCAAGAGGAACACCUGAGGUGAAGACGGGUUGCUGGGCUGACACUGACGCUGAGGCGCGAAAGCUAGGGUAGCAAACGGG
rnacentral:rRNA from 1 species